rnacentral:misc_RNA from 1 species
AACUGACUAUGAUCUGGGCUGCAGGAAUUAUUAUUCAAUUUUAAAGAGCUGGUUGACAGCAUCGGAUCCUUGUGGCCUCAAUAUCUAGGUUAAGAUCUUUCAUGGCCAAAUUUAUUGCGAUUUACAUAAGUGUUUUCACAUUUUUGGUAACCUCUUGAUCUGGCAGCUGUCAAAUAGAAUCUUAAACCCUCCAUUCAAAAUACAUAUGGUUCUUGUUUGUGCCUAUUUGUAUUUCUUCUCGCC